rnacentral:rRNA from 1 species
UACGGAGGGGGCUAGCGUUGUUCGGAAUUACUGGGCGUAAAGCGCACGUAGGCGGCUUUGUAAGUUAGAGGUGAAAGCCCAGGGCUUAACCCUGGAAUUGCCUUUAAGACUGCAUCGCUAGAAUCGUGGAGAGGUGAGUGGAAUUCCGAGUGUAGAGGUGAAAUUCGUAGAUAUUCGGAAGAAACACCAGUGGCGAAGGCGGACUCACUGGACACGGUAUUGACGCUGAGGUGCGAAAAGCGUGGG